rnacentral:rRNA from 1 species
CUUUGAUUCUGGCUCAGGAUGAACGCUAGCGGCAGGCUUAACACAUGCAAGUCGAAGGGCAGCGGGGAGAGUGCUUGCACUCUCCGCCGGCGACUGGCGCACGGGUGAGUAACACGUAUGCAACCUGCCCUCCACAGGGGGACAACUUUCCGAAAGGGAAGCUAAUCCCGCGUACAUCGCCGGAAGGCAUCUUCCGGUGAGGAAAGCUUCGGCGGUGGAGGAUGGGCAUGCGGCGCAUUAGCCAGACGGCGGGGUAACGGCCCACCGUGGCGACGAUGCGUAGGGGUUCUGAGAGGAAGGUCCCCCACACUGGUACUGAGACACGGACCAGACUCCUACGGGAGGCAGCAGUGAGGAAUAUUGGUCAAUGGGCGGGAGCCUGAACCAGCCAAGCCGCGUGAAGGAGGAAGGCGCUAAGCGUCGUAAACUUCUUUUGUCGGGGAACAAAGGCGUGGACGCGUCCAUGCGUGAGUGUACCCGAAGAAAAAGCAUCGGCUAACUCCGUGCCAGCAGCCGCGGUAAUACGGAGGAUGCGAGCGUUAUCCGGAUUUAUUGGGUUUAAAGGGUGCGUAGGCGGUCUGUUAAGUCAGCGGUAAAAGCCCGGGGCUCAACCCCGGCGAGCCGUUGAAACUGGGGGACUAGAGAGGGCGAGAAGUACGCGGAAUGCGCAGUGUAGCGGUGAAAUGCAUAGAUAUUGCGCAGAACUCCGAUUGCGAAGGCAGCGUACCGGCGCCUGUCUGACGCUGAGGCACGAAAGCGUGGGUAUCGAACAGGAUUAGAUACCCUGGUAGUCCACGCAGUAAACGAUGAAUGCCGGCUGUUCGGUCCGAUUGAGGGCUGAGUGGCGAAGCGAAAGCGAUAAGCAUUCCACCUGGGGAGUACGCCGGCAACGGUGCAACUCAAAGGAAUUGACGGA